CCUGCGGAAGGAUCAUUACCUAGAGUUGUAGGCUUUGCCUGCUAUCUCUUACCCAUGUCUUUUGAGUACCUUACGUUUCCUCGGCGGGUCCGCCCGCCGAUUGGACAAUUUAAACCAUUUGCAGUUGCAAUCAGCGUCUGAAAAAACUUAAUAGUUACAACUUUCAACAACGGAUCUCUUGGUUCUGGCAUCGAUGAAGAACGCAGCGAAAUGCGAUAAGUAGUGUGAAUUGCAGAAUUCAGUGAAUCAUCGAAUCUUUGAACGCACAUUGCGCCCCUUGGUAUUCCAUGGGGCAUGCCUGUUCGAGCGUCAUUUGUACCUUCAAGCUCUGCUUGGUGUUGGGUGUUUGUCUCGCCUCUGCGUGUAGACUCGCCUCAAAACAAUUGGCAGCCGGCGUAUUGAUUUCGGAGCGCAGUACAUCUCGCGCUUUGCACUCAUAACGACGACGUCCAAAAGUACAUUUUUACACUCUUGACCUCGGAUCAGGUAGGGAUACCCGCUGAACUUAAGCAUAUCAAUAAGCGGAGGA
rnacentral:sRNA from 1 species